rnacentral:sRNA from 1 species
AUGGUCCACGCGUCCACUCCGGUGCUGAGUGUGCCGCCCGCACCUACCCGGCAACAGCUCGCCACGUUGUGUCAGCC